AGAGUUUGAUCCUGGCUCAGAACGAACGCUGGCGGCAGGCCUAACACAUGCAAGUCGAACGGGUGUCUUCGGACACUAGUGGCGGACGGGUGAGUAACGCGUGGGAACGUGCCCUUUGGUUCGGAAUAGCCCUGGGAAACUGGGAGUAAUACCGGAUACGGUCGAGAGACGAAAGAUUUAUCGCCGAAGGAUCGGCCCGCGUUGGAUUAGGUAGUUGGUGGGGUAAUGGCCUACCAAGCCGACGAUCCAUAGCUGGUUUGAGAGGAUGAUCAGCCACACUGGGACUGAGACACGGCCCAGACUCCUACGGGAGGCAGCAGUGGGGAAUCUUAGACAAUGGGGGAAACCCUGAUCUAGCCAUGCCGCGUGAGCGAUGAAGGCCUUAGGGUUGUAAAGCUCUUUCAGUGGGGAAGAUAAUGACGGUACCCACAGAAGAAGCCCCGGCUAACUCCGUGCCAGCAGCCGCGGUAAUACGGAGGGGGCUAGCGUUGUUCGGAAUUACUGGGCGUAAAGCGCACGUAGGCGGACCGGAAAGUCAGAGGUGAGAUCCCAGGGCUCAACCUUGGAACUGCCUUUGAAACUCCUGGUCUUGAGGUCGAGAGAGGUGAGUGCAAUUCCGAGUGUAGAGGUGAAAUUCGUAGAUAUUCGGAGGAACACCAGUGGCGAAGGCGGCUCACUGGCUCGAUACUGACGCUGAGGUGCGAAAGCGUGCGGAGCAAACAGGAUUAGAUACCCUGGUAG
rnacentral:rRNA from 1 species